GUGCUGGCUUUGGCAGCACACAUACUAAAGUAGAUAGAAGAUGAGCGCGGCCCCUGCAGAAGGAAGACGUGCAAAUUCAUGACGCAUUCCAUAUUACA
ensembl:snRNA U6 U6 spliceosomal RNA